AUGAGUCGUCUUUGCGCUCUUGGGGUAAUCUUGGUUGGCUGGUCACACCUAUGAAGGUUCACCACGGUUCCAUGUUUUCGCCAUUUGUGUAUAAUGGCUCUCACUGUGGUUCGCUGGAGUCCCAAAGCUUAGGAAAUGGCUUUGUAACCUUUUCCAGACUGAUAGAUCUCAAUUACUUUUUUUCUCGUUUAUUCCUGAAUUUCUUUGGAUCUCAGCAUGAUGCGUAGCUUUUGAGGAUCUUUUGGUUUACUUCACUUUGUGAGUCAGGACUUGUUUAAGUGAUUUCUUGAUUGUGAGCAGGCGUGGCAGUAAUCAGACAUGCAGUUUGUCUGUUUAUUUUUCUCAUAUGGGGCGGUGUGCUGUUCAAACUUGAGGGAAACUUGAUCACAUGUUUUACUACAACGUAACACAGCGUACUACACACAUGAUGUUCAUCAUGAUCAGAGCUGCCAGUAUUAUAUGGGUUUUAAUGAUAUGUCCUGGAGGUUUUUCUCAGAGUAAUCGUGUUAAACAGAAUCCUCCUGAUCUCUUUGGCAACCAUCAACAAUCUGUUAAAAUCCAGUGUGAGCACAGUGUACCAAGUUAUAAUCAGAUCAACUGGUACAGACAAGACCAGGGACUGACCUUUAUUGGAUAUCAAGUGGGAAAAUCAUCAACACAAAUUGAAAAUGAUUUUAAGGCUAAAGUGGAGAUUGUUGGGGAUGGAAGCAAAAACCUCUCUUUGACCAUCAAAAAUCUUUUAACCAAUGACAGUGCAGUGUACUUCUGUGCUGCUUAUUACACAGUGCUGCAUAUCUGCUUUAUUCAGUACAAAAACCUCUGUGUAAAUAUUCUCAGUAUCUCAUUAACACCUGCUCCUGUGGCCUGGAAUUGACACAUUGCCAGUGUUUUUAACAGAAAAGCCACAUUUACAUGAUUACAGACAAUUAUACUAUUGGUAUUAAAUCUUAUCUAUAAACGGUUCUAUAAACUUCAAACCUGCCUUUAAUAAUGUUAUACA